CACGUAGGGCGCAAGCGUUGUCCGGAAUUAUUGGGCGUAAAGAGCUCGUAGGCGGUCUGUUGCGUCCGCUGUGAAAACUCGGGGCUUAACCCCGAGCCUGCAGUGGAUACGGGCAGACUAGAGGUAGGUAGGGGAGAAUGGAAUUCCCGGCGUAGCGGUGAAAUGCGCAGAUAUCGGGAGGAACACCGGUGGCGAAGGCGAUCAUCUGGGGUUGUUCUGACGCUGAGGAGCGAAAGCUAGGGGAGCAAACGGG
rnacentral:rRNA from 1 species